CUGUCCUGCCAUAAGUCUGUGACAGAAUAGCGGCCCUCACCAGUGAAUUCAGUUGGGGUUUUCAUGUUCAACUCACAAGGACUGUCUGCUACAAAAUGUCUGCUCACUGGAGGAGUAUGUGGAGGAGUUUUUGGAACUGUAUCACAAGUCAUGAUUGAAUGAUGAAGCUCUCAAAUACUUAGAUUACAUCCUCUACCAGAUGCUGCUUAUGAAUAAGGGUCAUCGGCCACUGGUGGAAUUAAUUGAUAACACCCUAUGGGUAUGUGGAUCAUCAUACACCUUGGGUGCGGUGGAGGAGCUUACUGCCACUCUUCCCAGAACCACUGUCACCUUCAGUACUCAUCACCACACCUGCUCCAAUUCUGAAACUGCCAUCGUCCAGCACUGACCUUCCUCACAUUCCAGAGCCCAUACCUGCCACAGACCCAGAGCCCAUGCCAAAGAUGUAGAGGAGCCUGCCACAAUGUCUGUCCCAGAGCCUGAGCCUGCCACCCAGUUGAGCUAGAGUGGCUUAUUGACCUGCAUGCCACAGAGCCAGUUCCCACACUUGUCUCCGCCCUCUAACCUCUUUCUCCUCUGCCGGUCAAGUCCUGCUGGCUUGAUGUCCUGGUUCUUCUUGGAGUCCUUCCUCUCCUGUUGAUUUCAUCCAACCUUCAAGCCUUUUCAUCUCCAUUGGUUCCGUCCAAUCCCUAAGCUUCCUUGUCUUGGCCACAGAGGCCAUCCCAAGUUAACUUGGCCAUAGAGGCUGUUCCAAGUUUUCAUCAUCUCAGCCAUGGGGGCCAUCCCAAGUUUCCUUGUUUUGGCCAUUCAAAGCUCCUUCACCCCGCUGGUUUCAUCGAGUUCAUCGGCUCUAUCAUUCCUCCAGCUCUGCCUUGAUGCCUUGGGCAUCACCCUGGAUCCACCACGGGCUUCCAGGCCUCUGGCUGCUUCUCAGCCCUCUACCCCUUCGGCCCCACCAGGUUCCGCCUUCCCUUCGACUCCACUAUUGUCCUCAAUCACUCCGACUCGACUACGGUCUUCCAAGCACCAGGCUCCGCCUGAGUUCUGCCCUUCAGACCAACUGUGCCAUCCUGGGUCCUCGGCUACUGUCACGGUUUCCCUCUGUUCUCCCUCACCAGCAUGUCACACCAUACUCUCUGUGCUGAUCACUCAUUGUCAAUCAUCUCUUCAUCAAGGAUUGUUUCAAGCUCACACACAAACACACUGGUUGUCUACCGUCCUCAUUGUUCACCUCAUUAUUUCCUCAGUCUUGACUCCUUUCCUGUGAUUACCACCUGCAAACCUCAAACCUUCCAUUGACAAAUAAACACAAAAUCUCAAGCAUACUGUAUAAACAUUAAUAUCCACAUAAAAUAAAUUCACAGACACAAGUGUUUUCCAAUGACUAAAUGUGUGAUCAUGUAACAACAUUUUUAAGAGUAUUUCCCUUUAUUAAUAAACAUACUGAGAAGGUGGGAGAACAUCUUACCUCAUUUGUGUUACAUGGGAAUCAAACUCAUGUUGGCACUACUAGUAUAAUCUACUGUUUUUGUAUCCUUUGUUUCUGCAGUUGCUGCAUCGUCUGUGUAAUUUUAUUGUGGAUAAACACAGUGUCUCUGCAGGUCACAGUAGAGGGUGUUAUUGGCAGUUCUGUUGUCCUUCCAUGUUCUUCCAAAGAUGAUCAUAAACUUCAAGACAGUGAUGUGCAUUGGAGACGCAAUAAUGAUGAUAUUGUAUAUAGUAUAAUCAAGGGUAAAGAUUCAGAAUUGGGACAGGACCCACGGUACAAGAACAGAGUUGAAACGUUCCCAAAGGAAUAUAAGAGAGGAAACUUCUCCAUCAAACUCAACAAUCUUCAACACACAGACGCAGGAAAAUACAUCUGUUACAUCACAUGCUCAUCUGAUCUUCCUACUGUUCUGUUGCUCAUCAAUGAAUCAACAGCAGAAAAAGGAAACAAAUCCAUUGAACAAGAAAGCCAAGGAGAAGAUACAGGAGCAGACAGUGUGGAGAAUCCAUUCCCUGUCCUUCAUAGGACAAGAUAUGCUACUAUCAUUGCCUUUGUAUUACUUAUAAUUGCCUGUUUUAUUAUGUUUCUUUUAAGAAAAAU